AAAGAAUGCUGCAGUCAGCGACAAACUAAAGGCAGAACUGGCAAGAAAGAUGCAAACAAAAAUUACCCGGAUUAUUCUCACUGAUUUUCUCUGCUGGAUGCCUGUCUGCAUAAUGGGCUUUUUACAAGUUUCUGGCAUCAACAUACCAUAUGAUGCAUACGUCCCUGUAGGAUUGAUUAUUAUUCCGAUCAACAGCGCCCUCAAUCCUUUCUUAUAUUCUGAUGUCCCUGAUUACGUUUGGAAGAAACUGAGCCCCAUCAGAUCAUGGAUUUACGAAAAUAUCAUGAGACGAUGUGUUCGUGAUAACUUUGAUGAGAAGAAACCAAGUAGAAAUAGAAGAAAUGUUCAGAGUGGUUCCAAGUCGACAGAGGUAUAGUUCAACAACUCAAUUACAAAGAGUCGAAGAAAUUCAAACCUCAACCCAACGCGAAACCACUGUUUAAAAGGAUUGACAACAAAUUUACGUUCUUUCCGUCAGAUAACGGAAACACAGAAGAAACUUUUAAAUAACCCGACAUUCAAAACAUGUUUUGAUUUACAUUUUUAUUUUAUGUCAUAGAUUAUAGAUUUUAAUUUUUUUCUGGCAGAAUUUUCCCUGGUUUUUGCCUUAAACUUUGUCCCUGAUUCCAACUUUAAGUUAGAGCAUAUAUGAAAAAUUAUAUUAUUCUAUAGAUUAAAUCAAAUGUAAUAGAUAGAGGGAGUCGGAAGAUUUUGUUGCAUGGGAAAAAGAAUUGAGAAAACAGAAAGGAAUUUCAAAUAUAGUUUGGAAUCGAGUAUGGCCAAUGCUUAAAGCAUCAAUUCGAUUAGUUUCUAACCGGAUGUAUGAAAUAUAAUAAAUUGUACUAAUUCAAAAAAAUCCAAAAUAAAUUGAUGUCAGGUUAAUUGAAAUAGCAUAGUCCAUGAAUUUCUGAAUUUGACAUAAUUGCUGAAUAUUAUUGUGCAAAUCAUGGUAAUAUCACUGUAAAAACAUGACUUUAUUAAAGCUACUUGCUCAACAAUUUAGAGAAUUCUUACGCACUUUCAUACUUGCUCACACAAAAAUUUGCUUUUUUAAAUACAUUCAAAAUAUUUUCUCACGUUUUCACAAGAUAAUUACUUUAAGUGGUAAUUGGAUAUAAAAUUUGAUGGCAAUGUUCACACCGUAAUUGACUGGUUCACCCCACUUAGCAUAUCUCAUCAUCAUUAUGGCAAAAUUGAAAAAAAAAAAAUAUUUUUGUAGACGUGUGUAUCUAUAUCCCUGUGUGUUAUAACAAAAAAAAUAAAAUAAAAAUUUUGUAGAUGUGUCUAUCUAUAGCACUAUGUGCCCUUAUAACAAAAUUCAAAAAAAAAAAAA